CAAUUUUUUAUAGGAAAAAAAAAAUCAAAAUUUAACGGUGGAGAUACUUCUGAGAAUAUAAUCUAAGGGAUAUUCUUUUGUUUAGGAUGAAGGGCAUGAUGCCAUGGCUUUAGCAAUCGACGUCUUCAUCGUAUCCAUUCAAAAGCGUCCCCUGCAUAAACUAAUCCUCUUUAAGAGUUGUAUACUUUCACACACGCAUCGUUCCAGUGGUAUCUUAUCAGAAGGUUAUAAAUUGAAGAGAUUGUUUAGGUUUUUUUAAUUGUUUCAAGUUUUCUUUGAUCGUCCUUCCUCUCCGCUGCAGAUAAUUUUCCCUCUGGCCCUUUCUCCUUUUCUUAUAAUCUGACUCCAUUAAAGUAUUGUUAUAUCUCUACAAUUCUCUAAUUAUUAAAUUUAUUCCCUUUGGAGUUUCUGCAAUUACAGUAGGCAUUCUUUUGCUUAGAUAGCUUUGGUGUAUGCUUCAUUGUUUGAUUUGUCUUUGUAGGAUCCACAUUCAGAACAACUCAAUCCCUAUCUUAAAAUCGAGAAGAUCUAGCAUCAAUGUUCGGACAGUGCGUUGAUCAUUCUUUCAUGUACGUUAAAGGGCAAGAGAGUUGUAUUUUUGUAGCAACUUCUCUCUGAUUUGCUUCUACUUCUGCUACUUUGUAUUAUCCAUCUGAAGUAUGCAUUACUUUUGCCACAUCCAUUAAGGGAAAAUCUCUGGGAUUAGCAAUAAAAGAUAAAUGUUUUGGAAAGGUAGUAGAGAAGAACUAGAAGGGAGAAGGAUACCUCUUCCAGGCAGAGAAAGAGGGAAUCUUUUAUUAUGGAGCUUUGACCAAAGUUAUCUACGCAGUUCCAGAUUUGAAUUAUUUUCUGUGGCUUAUUCGAACGGUUCGAUUGGAACAUAUGAGGAGAAGUUGAGUAAAACAGAGAUAUAAUCGAUCACGUUGUCAAGAUAUAUAAAAUUGAUGGAGGUUUGCAUAUAUUUUAUGUCACAAUGUUGCAAUUUUAAAGCAUUUCCUAUGGUUUCUUCUUUUCUUUUACGUUCAGCAAUUUUUUUGUGGAAGCUAAGACAAAGAAGUUAAAUGAGGCAGCCAGGAGGAUGCAAUGGAAUCUCCCGGAUUAUUUUUUAAAGAGAGAUCAGAACAAUGUAUUGAUGACUAAAAAGUAAAAUCAAUGAAUUGAGUAAAUUUUUCAGUGUUAAUUUAAAUGAAUUUCAGUUUUAAUAUGUUUGUGGCAUUUGAUAAUAUUAAAUAUUAAGUUUUUCCAAGGGACGUAGAACCGGAUGGAAUAAAAAUGUUGCUGCUGCCACCUUACAAGCCAUUUCCAAGCAUCUUUUCAAAAGCCUGCAAUAUUAGGUACUUUGAUCAUCAAAAUCCUUACUUUUAGACGGUAUGAUUGCAAUGGCUAUGCUGCUAAACCAUAGAAUUGCUCAUUCACCUUCGUGUCAUCAUUUGUCUCAUCACCUUUUGCGCCAUAGUCAAGGACACUGAAUGUUCUGGAAGUUUUCCCUUCAGCAAUAGACCUGCGGUUUCCUCUCCAGUAGCGUCACAAGAGAAUAAAAGGAAAAGUUUCAGGGCAAGACAUUUGAAGUUAAUCUGAAAGCAUGGUGUGUGCCUCCUCCCUCCUUGGAGCUCGUCCAUUCGUUGGGUGAUCCCAUGCUCUCACGUUCGAGUGUUUUCUCGUCCGGUGAGUGAGAUUUCUGCUUAUUGCAGUCACCUCCAGGGUUGGGUUCUUCGCACCUGGGAUAGUACCAGGAUCCUUGUGCCCCUGCUCUUGAUCAGAUAAAGCUGUCCGCCCGAAGCCCGACCUAUGACCCACAGAGGAGGACACAAAGAUUUGGAACUCUCUUCCUCUUUAAGCAUGUACUACUCAUUUGUUAAUAUUUGAACUUAAUUGGAUAAUGAGAAAAAACGCUGAUAGGAUAUACUUUCUUAUUUUA